rnacentral:rRNA from 1 species
UCGGGAAUCUUAGACAAUGGGGGAAACCCUGAUCUAGCCAUGCCGCGUGAGUGACGAAGGCCUUAGGGUCGUAAAGCUCUUUCGCUGGGGAAGAUAAUGACGGUACCCAGUAAAGAAACCCCGGCUAACUCCGUGCCAGCAGCCGCGGUAAUACGGAGGGGGUUAGCGUUGUUCGGAAUUACUGGGCGUAAAGCGCGCGUAGGCGGACUGGAAAGUUGGGGGUGAAAUCCCGGGGCUCAACCCCGGAACUGCCUUCAAAACUCCCAGUCUUGAGUUCGAGAGAGGUGAGUGGAAUUCCGAGUGUAGAGGUGAAAUUCGUAGAUAUUCGGAGGAACACCAGUGGCGAAGGCGGCUCACUGGCUCGAUACUGACGCUGAGGUGCGAAAGCGUGGGGAGCAAACAGGAUUAGAUACCCCCGUAGUCC